rnacentral:lncRNA from 1 species
GACCUUACCCCCAACCCUGUGCUCUCUGAAACAUGUGCUGUGUUGUCCACUCAGGAUUAAAUGGAUUAAGGGCGGUGCAAAAAAAAAAAAAAAAGAAAUUUAGCAUUUAAUUUUAAGCAGAAACUCUGCCCUCAAACCUUAUUAAUCAGACUAUGACAGGAGUAAAACACAAGAAUGGUGUUCAACAUUCUUGUGAAUGAUUCUUUCUUUUCUCAUCCAAGAUUGAUGAGAAAAACCUCCACCCAAGGUAUCAAAAGUUUAAUACUGAUUCUGUUCUCCUCUCUUUUGAAUACAUAAACUAGCUAGAUGACAAUAUCAUUCCACUUUUUACUAUUAUCUGUCAGCUGUCAAUUACAACAACAACCCCAAAAAAAUUAAAUCUUGACAGACAUCAUUGUUUCAGAUGCCUCUGGAAGAGAGAGGAGAGGGAAAAAAAAAUUGUUGGAAAGUUCUUUACAGCCCUGUGAGACUAAGUAAAAGAGACCUUAUCAUUAUUCAAAAGGUAGAGUUCUGGAGAAAACAAAGACCUAAAAUAAAUUAACCUAGACAGAAGAAAAAGACUUGGGUGAUUUAGUAGCAGUACUGCCCUCAGUGACUCAAUGUUUGCAAUAAGGAAUGGGUAGUAUCAGCUUUCCUGAUACAUAAAAUAUCACUUGUAUUAUUUCCUCUUCAAUGAGCAAAGAGAAGUAAUAACCUGGCAUCACAAAGAAAAAUAAAUUAUCCACAUAGUAACUUUCUGAUAAACUCUUGGCUGUCCAGCAGAAGGCCCAGCUGGGAAGAAAGUGCUGUGGACUACAGCUUGGCUCCAUCCCACGCCAGCCCUCUGACCCUGGGGCUGGAUCGUCUCUGGAUGAGGGGGUUGCUCAGAAUUAUCCCACUUGGGCUUUUUAUGGCAGUAUAUUCAUACCUUGGUAUACCACACACAGCAAUGGAAAAGAAACUACAGACUACACAGAACAUGGAUGAAUUUCACAGACAUCACAAUGAGCUGAAGAAGCCAGAUACAAAAAGAAAAAAAAAAAAGCACCGUAUGACUCCAUUUAUAUGGAUCUUAAAAACAGAAAAAAUGAAUCUAUGGGACUAAAGAUCAGAAUACUGGUUAUCCUUGGGAGUGUAGGGGGAGUGCUGAUUGGGAGAAAGCACAGCAGAGCUUUUCGGGUACUAAGGACUGAACUGUAUUCUCUCAGAAUUCCUGUGUUGAAGCCCUACCCCACAAUGUGAUGCUAUUUGGAGAUGGGGUCUUUGGGAAGUAAUUAGACUCAGAUGAGGUGACGUGGGUGGGGUCUUCAGGAUGGGAUAAGUGCCCUUAGACACACCAGAAAGCUUGCUUUCCUCCACCUACCUCUCCCCACACAUACACAUCAAAGAAAGGUCUUGACUACACACUGAGCAGCGAGGAAGAGGGCCCUCACCAGAACCCAACUAUGCUGGCAUCCUGAUCUCGGACUUCCAGCCUCCAAAACUGUGAGGAAAUAAAUUUCUGUUUAAGCCAGAACAACAGAUAUUUUGAUAUUUUAUUAUGGUGAUCUGAGCUGACCAAAGUACCAGAAAUGCUUUAUAUUUCAAUAUGGACAGUGGUCACAUAAGUGAAUAAAUGUGUAAAAAUUCCCUAAGCUGUAUACUUAAGGUUGACUCACAGUUUUUUAGAAGGAAUAGCAAGAAACAAAGCACUGACUUAGCAAGAAACAACCUAGCAUUACCAAGGUGAGAGUUGGGAGACUUUUCUACUUUUCAUUUGAUUCCCUUGUCAGGGCAAAUUCUUUUCCAUGAGUAUAUGUGAUCUUACAUAAUUUUUAAUAACUUGUUAAUUUUAAUAUUGCUCUAAAUUCCCUACUUCACAGUGUGUGUCUCACCACUGCCCUUGAAGACUCAAUGGCAAUGACUGUCAAAUCCACACCUGCCCCCGUGCACUCAAACUCCAACCGUGAGUUUCCAGGCACCACUGGUGCAUCUCCUCUCAAGCACAUAACUGUCACACCCACCAUGUCUCCAAAUGCAGUUAUCCACCCCCAACUCCUCCUCCGCCUCUGCCCCUGGCUUCUGUCUCCCAGGUUCUAACUCACCCUGUUCCUUUGCAUCUCUGUGUUACCUCAGAUUGUUUACUUACAGGUGUCCCUCCACUCUCAGACUCAGAAACCAAACACAUGUAGAUACAUUUUUCCAUAGCAAGCAGGCAGGUAUUCCUCAUUAUCCAAACUAUUGCUACUCUCUAACUAAAACUCAGGAAACGAAAUACUACAGACUCAGAUAACAUGAUAUUCCUCACUCUCCAAACUCUCAUUACCGAAACAGAUUAUUUAUUUAUUUAUUUUUGAGAUGGAAUCUCGCUUUGUUGCCCAGGCUGGAGUGCAAUAGCGUGAUCUCAGCUCACUGCAACCUCCACCUCCCGGUUUCAAGCAAUUCUCCUGCUGACUCAGUCUCCUGGGUAGCUGGGAUUACAGGCACGUGCCAUCACGCCA